rnacentral:lncRNA from 7 species
GAAAUGUCGCAGCAAGCUCCGCCCCGGAUCUGUGCAGCCCCAACACACACCGUCGAUCUGCGCAGCUACGACCACGACAGCUCCCUCGCAUCGUGUGCUCCGCCUCAUCGCACUCGCCGUGCUCGACGUCGACCUCACACAACAACGUCGUUGAUUCGCGCAGCCAUGACACAUGUCGUUGUCUUCCUAUUUGGACAGCCCCGGUCACGAUGUCAUCGAAUCCCGGUAGUUAAUUAAUCAUGUGAUGUGGAGGCCAAGAGUUGGAUUAAUCUCAAAGUGAUGCUGAUGAAUAAACCAGAGGAGUGGAUGAUCUGAUCAAGUACCAGGAUGGGAGAUGCUCACUAAGUGGUCAUCAUUUAACAACACUGACGUAGUGUUUAUCCCAGGUUAUAAUUUUGUUCUGUUGUGGAUGGUGCUAAGUGCUGGUGGGCUCGGCCUUCUCAUAUGUAUAAGUAUAUCCUAUCUAUAGUUUCUUUAUUGAGGAUUGUCACUUAAGCUAGCAUGCAUUUCAAACUUACAAAUAUUUUAUGACAAUUCAAAGUGUAACUCUUUUGAAACACUUUCUUUUGUAAUCAACUCCGAUAAUUGUAUAAUGUAAACUUAUUAUAACUUGUAACCAUUUUGUAAUAAAGAAUUUCUGCU